AGUUGUAUUUAUGCUCUGGCUCUUGAAAGAGUUCCGGCCUCUUCAAGAAUUCCAUGUGGAAACCCUGUUCUUGUUAAUCAAGUUCGGUGCAGCUUCUAUUCCUGUAUUCAAACUUAAAUUUCAAUCUCUCUCUUGGAAAUGGAAAAACAGAAAUUGUGGGAUAACAGAAAACAGGCGAUUUAUGCUUACUUACAAUCCUGAAAAUUAACUUGCAUCAGUUUUGUUCUAAGAUGCUAGCAAUAUAAAUUAGAAGCAGCCCAAAGCCAUAGAAUUGUAGUAAUUGCUAUGCAGUUUACGCUAUCAGAAAUUUCAUCUUUUUAAAAAAAAAAAA
rnacentral:misc_RNA from 1 species